UACAGAGGGUGCGAACGUUGCUCGGAAUUACUGGGCGUAAAGCGCACGUAGGCGGAUUUGUAAGUCAGGGGUGAAAUCCCGAGGCUCAACCUCGGAACUGCCUUUGAUACUGCAAAUCUCGAGUCCGGAAGAGGUGAGUGGAAUUCCUAGUGUAGAGGUGAAAUUCGUAGAUAUUAGGAAGAACACCAGUGGCGAAGGCGGCUCACUGGUCCGGUACUGACGCUGAGGUGCGAAAGCGUGGGGAGCAAACAGG
rnacentral:rRNA from 1 species